rnacentral:rRNA from 1 species
GACGAACGCUGGCGGCGUGCUUAACACAUGCAAGUCGAACGGAAAGGCCCUGCUUUUGUGGGGUGCUCGAGUGGCGAACGGGUGAGUAACACGUGAGUAACCUGCUCUUGACUUUGGGAUAACUUCAGGAAACUGGGGCUAAUACCGGAUAGGAGCUCCUGCUGCAUGGUGGGGGUGGGAAAGUUUCGGCGGUUGGGGAUGGACUCGCGGCUUAUCAGCUUGUUGGUGGGGUAGUGGCUUACCAAGGCUUUGACGGGUAGCCGGCCUGAGCGGGUGACCGGCCACAUUGGGACUGAGCUACGGCACAGCCUCCUACGGGAGGCAGCAGUGGGGAAUAUUGCACAAUGGGCGGAAGCCUGAUGCAGCACCGCCGCGUGCGGGAUGACGGCCUUCGGGUUGUAAACCGCUUUCGCCUGUGACGAAGCGUGAGUGACGGUAAUGGGUAAAGAAGCACCGGCUAACUACGUG